rnacentral:rRNA from 1 species
AACGAACGCUGGCGGCAUGCCUAACACAUGCGAGUCGAACGAGACCUUCGGGUCUAGUGGCGCACGGGUGCGUAACGCGUGGGAACCUGCCCUUAGGUUCGGAAUAACUCCCCGAAAGGGGUGCUAAUACCGGAUAAUGUCUUCGGACCAAAGAUUUAUCGCCUUUGGAUGGGCCCGCGUUGGAUUAGCUAGUUGGUAGGGUAAAAGCCUACCAAGGCGACGAUCCAUAGCUGGUCUGAGAGGAUGAUCAGCCACACUGGGACUGAGACACGGCCCAGGCUCCUACGGGAGGCAGCAGUGGGGAAUAUUGGACAAUGGGCGAAAGCCUGAUCCAGCAAUGCCGCGUGAGUGAUGAAGGCCUUAGGGUUGUAAAGCUCUUUUACCCGGGAUGAUAAUGACAGUACCGGGAGAAUAAGCUCCGGCUAACUCCGUG